rnacentral:sRNA from 2 species
AACAAAAUUAUUGUUGGAAAAAGUUUAGCGCAGGCUCUGCGGAGCCGUUUCCCCUAGGCCCAAAAAAAGGAAAAGUUUGGGCCGUUUUUU